rnacentral:rRNA from 1 species
UACGGGGGGAGCAAGCGUUGUUCGGAUUUACUGGGCGUAAAGGGCGCGUAGGCGGCCAGCACAAGUCAGUUGUGAAAUCUCCGGGCUUAACUCGGAAAGGUCAACUGAUACUGUGCGGCUAGAGUGCAGAAGGGGCAACUGGAAUUCUCGGUGUAGCGGUGAAAUGCGCAGAUAUCAGGAGGAACACCGGUGGCGAAGGCGGGUCUCUGGGCCGGUACUGACGCUGAGACGCGAAAGCGUGGGGGAGCAAACAGG